rnacentral:rRNA from 1 species
AUGAACGCUAGCUACAGGCUUAACACAUGCAAGUCGAGGGGCAGCAUGGUCUUAGCUUGCUAAGGCCGAUGGCGACCGGCGCACGGGUGAGUAACGCGUAUCCAACCUGCCUUACACUCUUGGACAGCCUUCUGAAAGGGAGAUUAAUACAAGAUGUUAUCAUGAGUAAGCAUUUUCGCAUGAUUAAAGGUUUACCGGUGUAAGAUGGGGAUGCGUUCCAUUAGAUAGUAGGCGGGGUAACGGCCCACCUAGUCUUCGAUGGAUAGGGGUUCUGAGAGGAAGGUCCCCCACAUUGGAACUGAGACACGGUCCAAACUCCUACGGGAGGCAGCAGUGAGGAAUAUUGGUCAAUGGACGAGAGUCUGAACCAGCCAAGUAGCGUGAAGGAUGAAGGUUCUAUGGAUUGUAAACUUCUUUUAUACGGGAAUAAACGGAUCCACGUGUGGAUUUUUGCAUGUACCGUAUGAAUAAGGAUCGGCUAACUCCGUGCCAGCAGCCGCGGUAAUACGGAGGAUCCGAGCGUUAUCCGGAUUUAUUGGGUUUAAAGGGAGCGUAGAUGGGUUGUUAAGUCAGUUGUGAAAGUUUGCGGCUCAACCGUAAAAUUGCAAUUGAUACUGGCAGUCUUGAGUACAGUUGAGGUAGGCGGAAUUCGUGGUGUAGCGGUGAAAUGCUUAGAUAUCACGAAGAACUCCGAUUGCGAAGGCAGCUUACUAACCUGUAACUGACAUUGAUGCUCGAAAGUGUGGGUAUCAAACAGGAUUAGAUACCCUGGUAGUCCACACGGUAAACGAUGAAUACUCGCUGUAGGCGAUAUACAGUCUGCGGCCAAGCGAAAGCAUUAAGUAUUCCACCUGGGGAGUACGCCGGCAACGGUGAAACUCAAAGGAAUUGACGGGGGCCCGCACAAGCGGAGGAACAUGUGGUUUAAUUCGAUGAUACGCGAGGAACCUUACCCGGGCUUAAAUUGCAACCGAAUAUGGCGGAAACGCUAUAGCUAGCAAUAGCGGUUGUGAAGGUGCUGCAUGGUUGUCGUCAGCUCGUGUCGUGAGAUGUUGGGUUAAGUCCCGCAACGAGCGCAACCCUUGCCGAUAGUUACUAACAGGUUAUGCUGAGGACUCUGUCGGGACUGCCAUCGUAAGAUGUGAGGAAGGUGGGGAUGACGUCAAAUCAGCACGGCCCUUACGUCCGGGGCUACACACGUGUUACAAUGGGGGGUACAGAGGGCUGCUACCACGCAAGUGGAUGCCAAUCCCAAAAACCUCUCUCAGUUCGGAUUGAAGUCUGCAACCCGACUUCAUGAAGCUGGAUUCGCUAGUAAUCGCGCAUCAGCCACGGCGCGGUGAAUACGUUCCCGGGCCUUGUACACACCGCCCGUCAAGCCAUGGGAGCCGGGGGUACCUGAAGUGCGUAACCGCAAGGAGCGCCCUAGGGUAAAACUGGUGACUGGGGCU